AACGCACAUUGCGCCCCCUGGUAUUCCGGGGGGCAUGCCUGUUCGAGCGUCAUUUCAACCCUCAAGCACUGCUUGGUGUUGGGCCGUGCCGGGUUUCCCGGCGGGCCCCAAAAUCAGUGGCGGCGCCACCUUGGCUCCACGCGCAGUAGAUCUCUCUCGCGUCCGGAGGCCCUGGUGGCAGCUGGCCAGGCGAAACCCCAACUUUCUCAGGUUGACCUCGGAUCAGGUAGGGAUACCCGCUGAACUUAA
rnacentral:misc_RNA from 1 species